GAAUAUGAAACUUGUUGGAACUUUUUUGACAAAACUUUUCCGGUGACUUUCCGGCCAAAUUCCGGCCAAACGGCUGAACGGAAUUGUAGGGUCAUUAGUGCAUUGGAAAGUUAGUAAAGAGUACUACAAAAUGGUAUACACAUACGUCAAAAAUGAAGUUGUAUUGAAUGAGAAAUAAAGGUGUAAAGUGGGACACUUGGGCCAAACCGGACCGAACCGAACCAGGCUGCGGGUUGUCGGGACGUCCCGUCGUCGGCUCAAGGGCUUUCAGACUUGCGAACCGUCAUACUUGUGAGUUAUUGAGUUUGCUGAGUUGAAUCUUAUGGAAAUAUUCUCAGGAUGGUCUCAAAAUAUUCUCAAGAUAGUUUCAAAAUAUGUCAUGUUUAUCCUGAGAAUGUUCUGCAAAAUCUUAUCUACUUCUACUAUAUAAAGAGAUUCAACCUCUCAUUAUUUCUAAAACUCUCAAACACAAAACAGUCUAAAUUCUAAAAUCUCUCCUCUCUCUUGCUUUUUAAAAGU
rnacentral:sRNA from 1 species